ACAAAAAGUACUAAUACAAAUUAAAUAAAAUAGGUAGAAAACAAAAGAAUAGCGAAGAAGAAGCAAAUGCGCUUCACGCUAAUUCCAAGUACCAACACAAAACAAAUUCAAUGUUUGGUGAAGCAACUUGCUUAGUGGCGGACGGGUGAGUAACGCGUGAACAAUCUGCCCCGUACAAAGGGAUAGCCUCGGGAAACCGGGAUUAAAACCAUAUAACACUUAACUGCCGCAUGGUAGUGAAGUCAAAUCGAUUAAGAGGUAUGGGAUGAGUUCGCGUCUGAUUAGCUAGUUGGUGAGGUAAGGGCUCACCAAGGCGACGAUCAGUAGCCGGCCUGAGAGGGUGAACGGCCACACUGGAACUGAGACACGGUCCAGACUCCUACGGGAGGCAGCAGUGGGGAAUAUUGCACAAUGGAGGGAACUCUGAUGCAGCGACGCCGCGUGAGUGAAGAAGGUCUUCGGAUCGUAAAACUCUGUCCUUGGUGAAGAAAAGGACGGUAGCCAAGGAGGAAGCCCCGGCUAACUACGUG
rnacentral:rRNA from 1 species